rnacentral:ribozyme from 1 species
AGAUCCUGCGUGGAACAGGAAAGUCUGUAUGGAUGUCUGCAGAAAAUGGACGAAAUGUCUAAAUCACAAAAUUUUCCAACUCGGGAAAAGAAAAGAGAUGC